rnacentral:misc_RNA from 1 species
GGUUGGAUCCCUGCCUCGUGCAGCGACGUCCUACCUUGCUAUCCUCUUCAUUGUUGGCACAAUUUACAUUGGCCGUCCGUCGGUUUCCUGUGUUUUGUACCUACAUGAUGGAAUUCGGUUGUCAAUCUCCAGUUGUUCGCUUUAGUCUGCCCGUUAACACGGUGCGGUCGCGAGUGAAACUCGAAACGGAAUUCGUGCCCCACGUACCGCACGAUUCGUGACGGUUUCUUGGUCCAUGAAUUUCUCGCUCGGGCGCUGGGAUGCAGAAGACGAUGAGGGCACGGAGUCACUGGCUCCUAUCUGUCCGCAAAAAGGGCUUUAUGUCCUAUUUCGAACGACUUCGGUUCCGUUCCGGUUGCGUGCCGUGCGGCCCGAUGUCCGUGAGGAAUGCUAC